rnacentral:lncRNA from 1 species
CUGUGAUGUUCAGGAUAAACAAUUUGGUUUUUUUUUGUUUGUUUAUUUGUUUAUGUUUUUGUAAGAAUCUGAGAAUGGGGUACAUACAGUCAUCGUAUAUAUUUUUACAUCCCUAGUAUAUCUUAUGACCCUUUUAAAAAAAAGUUGUUUUUUAAAUUCUCAAGUUAAAAUUUGAUCAAAAUUACUCCCUAAUCGUUUAUUAUUUGAUUUAUGUUUUUAUAAUUUUAACUUCCACAAUAUUUCAUAGAGCAAACUAGUAUUGUUGACCCUUUGAACUUUCACAAAAAAAAUAUGAGGAUUUGGUAUAAAGAUUGCCUGGACCAUUCUCUGGUCAUACUUCUAUUUCUUUGUUUACAAACUGUCUAAUUAUGAUGAAUGGGUCAUCACUGGCUUGAUACACAUAUCAUUCACAUUAUAAUAAUCAAAAUUUGAUCUUGAAUCCAUAUUGAGAAUAUCUGGCAUUAAAAAUAUUAGAGUCAUAACAUGUAAAAUGUACAGUCAAUAUUUAGGUGAAUAAAAUAUGUAUUCAUUAUGUACCGGUAUGUCAAGAAGGCAUUAUAUUUUUUUGUUUUCUUACGAUUUUUAAUUUCAAAUGUUAAUUUAAGGUUAUAAAUUGACAAUUAUUUGUUAGCAAACAAAAUUCAAUACUCAUUGCAUGUAAAUAUUUUUUGUGACACUAAAUUAUUAUCAGCGAUAAAAAUCCCAUGAACGCAGUGCUAAGAAAUAGUUCUGGGUAAUUUAUUGUUUGUAUUUAACAAAACAGGUAGUUUCAUUGUUAUUUCAUUUCACUCAUUUGAAACUGGUUGUGUUCAUUGCAAUAUUUUGAUGUACCAUGGGAGAUAACUCUAAACUACCUCAGAGUAUGUUACACAUGAUAUUUAUUUAACACCAGG